UACGAAGGGGGCUAGCGUUGUUCGGAAUUACUGGGCGUAAAGGGCGCGUAGGCGGAUCGGCAAGUCAGAAGUGAAAUCCCUGGGCUCAACCCAGGAAUUGCUUUUAAGACUGCCAGUCUUGAGUACAGGAGAGGUGAGUGGAAUUCCCAGUGUAGAGGUAAAAUUCGUAGAUAUUGGGAGGAACACCAGUGGCGAAGGCGGCUCACUGGCCUGUAACUGACGCUGAGGCGCGAAAGCGUGGGGAGCAAACAGG
rnacentral:rRNA from 1 species